UUAUCCUUUUGGGUAAUCAAAAUUUUUAUAUUUUGUUAGUAUGUAAUUCUUUAGGCAAAAAGUUUAAGAUGGUCCAGCAGUGUCACCUGUGUUUUAUUUUCUUUUGUUUGUAGAUUAUGAAGUAUAUGUGGAAUAAGAGAUUUGUCUUUCUUCUUUUAUCAUAUUUUUCAGUUUAGUUUUGUUUUUUUUUAGCCUAAUUUAUUUUUUAAAAUUUUUUGAUGGAGUUGGAGAGGGUUACAACGCUAUCUAUUUGUGCAUUAUCUAUCACAUUAAGUUUUAAAAAGGUUUCAUUUGGAGCUAAAAGGAGAUCUACUCUAUGAUCAGUUUAGUGGAAAAGAAGAUAUGUGGUUCGAUUUGAUGGCAGAUACUGGUGAUGGCAGGAACUCGUUUUCUUCAGUUGCAGGAAUACUUGGACUACCGAAUGUUAUUAUCAAUCUUAUGGAGCACUUUUAAGCACUCUUUUAGACGUGGAUUAUGAGGUAUCUGUGGAAUAAGAGGUUUGCCUUCCUUAUUUUAUUAUAUUUUUCAGUAUAGUUUUACUUUUUUUAAGCCUAAUUUAUUUUUUAAAAUUCAAUUGAUGGAGUUUGGGAUAGUUACAAUGCUAUCUAUUUCUGCAUCAUCCAUCACGUAUUCAAUAUUAUGUUUUUACUUUAGAUUUAGAUUGGAGGAUUAUUUUAUUUUAAGAGUUUAAUUUUUAGAAAUCUAUAAUUUAGAAUUAUCGUUCAUUUUCUUAUUUUGAAGAUUUUAGUGAUAAAGUCAUGGAUUAAAUAGUUCAAGGUGUUGCGAGUUGAUAUAGUAGAUAGAGGAUGAUUCUAAUUAUUGAAGGAUGUCCAUUAGAAUAUUGUUUUCUAGUUAUGAAAAGUGAACUUAGGGAUUGGUGCUUAAGAAAAAGAAAUGUCUGGUAAAUUUACAACAUUAGCUGUAUGUCAAAAAUACUGU